UUACUGGUACGCAUCAUCAGUAGUGUUCCUCUGGGUCAUAGGGUGUUUCAGCCCUUAACACUAUACACCCUCUCCAGAGGCGGCCAGCUGCAGGAUGAUAAGACCUGAGCUUGCGACCCAAGCCCAAUUAGCCCUGAAAGUCACCUUGAUGGCAGACCUCUCAGGGGACUAUGCAUGGCAGGGGCGUCCGAACCUUCACGUUG